UACGAAGGGGGCUAGCGUUGCUCGGAAUUACUGGGCGUAAAGGGCGCGUAGGCGGACAGUUUAGUCAGAGGUGAAAGCCCAGGGCUCAACCUUGGAAUUGCCUUUGAUACUGGCUGUCUUGAGUUCGGGGAGAGGUGAGUGGAAUGCCGAGUGUAAGAGGUGAAAUUCGUAGAUAUUCGGAAGAACACCAGUGGCGAAGGCGGCCCGCUGGACAUGUAU
rnacentral:rRNA from 1 species